CUGAAUACUUUCUGUACCCACUGUAUAACAAACACAUUUUAGGUUUCAUAUUGAUUUAUUUGUUAAACUAAUAUCAGCAGUAGACUGUGUACUGAUACAGGCUUUGAAGUAAACACACACCAAAACUAUUAAGGAUGUUAACCAAUACAGACCUGGAAUCCAACUAGAUAGGGGAUCUGUCCAUUUAUGAACAUUUACUCUAACAUAAAAAUCAUGGCCAGUGGAUAUACAGCCCCAUUUCAUAUAGAAAUUCAGUAAUACUGCGGUAUUUUGCUAAAAUACUUUUGCUAGAGAAAAACUGAUCAAUUUCACUUCAAGAGGAAAACGAUAUUGUAAAAAUUCAUCAAUGUCUCUGACUACACCCUGAUGAACAGUGGUGUGAUAUGAGGUGUGAGGAACUUAAAACUCAUUUUACACUUUCUUUCAAACUACCACUGACACAACUGGUUAAUCCUCCAGAUAAAAUUUAAAUAAAACCCAUAAAUAUGGCCAUGUUAUGUCAAAAUAAAUCUGUCUUGUUGGGGGUAUUAAAUGAGUUCGGUCCUGCAGUAGCACUAAUCUUGUGGACAUUAGAUAAGCUACAUCCUAUUAUAGUAUCUCAGCCUGCAGCCAAUAAAGUUAAUUGCUUGUUAAUUUAGCCUAAAGCCAUUUUAAUUUGCUGACAGCUUAUCGCUGUUCUGGAAAGCCACCCUCAAAUUUUUUGAUGACUUAAAAAUGGAAAAGUUUGUUUUGUGAAAGGUUAUUCUUUCUAUUCACAGAGGAACUCCUCAUCCCGUUUGACAUCUGUGGUGUCAGUAGUUUCCAUAUCCUUAUUGUCCUACCGGUGAACAAUAUUUGAGAGUGGAAGAGAAGAGAUGUGGUUAUAAUUUUGUAUUAAGGACAACCAAAUAUUUAUCACAAUAUUUUGGAAUUUUUUGCGAUAAAAAUCUGUGUUUACCUCCUCAUCUACCUCUGCCUCAAAGUCCUCAGCAUCUUCAGGACCUGCCUCCUCCUCCUUCGCUACAUUCCCGAGUGCUGUGGACUGUUUUUCUUGCUCAUUGUAUCUUUAAGUGGGUGUAGCAGUGGAUCACAGGUUAAAUCUUGAAAAGUUUGGACAGGGACUGAUGCACCCAGCAGCCCUGAAUUGUUUUCAAAAAGGAUGAGCUCCUCCUUUGUUGUGGGUGAUGGUAGUGUUUGUGAUGCUGUAUCUGUGAUAAGUGUUGCUUCUGAAAAGGUUCAUCCCUAAAUCCACAUCAUACAGGUUGUAACCGAUACUUUUACAUCAGUAUUAAGUGCCAGACUAGUGCUAACUGGGACAUCCUCUUAUUGUUGUGAUUGCUUCUUUUGUCUCAGUAAGAUGUUUCAGAACCAGAGGCCACAGAUAUGGGAUCAGCUGCUGGAGACAGUUCCUGAACAUCCCCAAAUGAAGAUCUUCCACAGGACUGGAUUGUGCUAUCUCUGGCUCUUUGGCAGGAAUCUUAUUAAUGGACUCGUCCAAAGUAACUUUCUCUACAGCGACUGAAGGCUCCUCUAAUGAUUUUUCUAAUACAGUUCCUCUGAAUUCUACUGAUGAGUGGAUAUUCUGCAGCAGGCCUGACCUUGAUAUGAGUCUCCUUCAGGUACUGCUCAGCUAGCAGGGCUCGCUGAAAGCCAGGGAGCAGGUUGCUGUACUGGGUGGGGUCAGCCACAGCAUCUCCUGCCCUCUGGUUGAUGUUUGGCAGACUCUCCAAAGCUUCACCACCCUAUGAGAAAAGAACUGUGUACUGGUGAGGUAUAAUGUAAAUAUAAACAAACAUUUAGAUAUUCCCAUUAUCAGGGAUAUCAUCAUUUAUUCACUGAUUAUGAUUUCGAUGUUGUAAAACUUUUGUCCUCUGAGAAACAGUUGGGCCUAAACAGUCUUAAACAUAUUUCUACAUAUUCAAAUGCACUUACUAAUGCACAGUAAAAAGUUGUAGGCUACUAGGAGGAUACAUUGCCUGAAUUUCCUUACCACAAAAAGGCUGCUGUGCACCAUUUUAGCAGACUCCAUGUGUUAUUUUGUUGAUUUGCUGCAACCUAAUGUGGCUUCAGAUGGGCACAAGCAGCAUGUGCAGAAUUUAAACAAAACAAACCUGCAAUGUGCUGUUAGAGUUUUACAGUACACAUCUAUUAUUUCUGUCUUUCUUGUCACUUUCUGUUGUUACUUCCUGUUGACCAGAUGCUGGAGGAGGUCCCUGAGGUGGUGAAGACAGGAAGUUGGGUGGGAGACUGCUUCAUCUACACCAGCUCUGUUAACAGACUUAACUAUUAUGUUGGAGGGGAAAUCAUCACCAUUGCUCACAUGGACAGGACUAUAUACUGUAUCUGCUGGGUCAUAUCCCCAAGGAUAUCCAUGUCUACUUUGGAGACAAGGAGCUGAAUAUCAUCAGCUACUCCCUGUUGCUUUCUGUGCUGGAAUACCAGACAGCUGUCAUGAGCAGGGUCUUCUGCACAGCUGACAAAGUUCUGCCCACAGUCCCCUAGGAGCAGAGGACCAGGGUAGCCCAGUUCUAGGAGAAACAGACAACAGACACUAGCUGUGUCCACUGACCCAGAACAGAAGUUUGAACUUGCUCUGCAGCUGGGAGAGUUCAGGAUGACCUGCCAACUGGCUCUGGGGACAGAGUUAGAGCAGAAAUGGAAGCAGCUGGCUGAGCUGGCUACUACAGAGUGCCAGUUUAGCAGGCCCAGGAGUGUCUGCACCAUGCUCAGGAUUAUGGUUACUGCUGCUGGCUACUGCCUCAGGCAUCGCUGGUGUGGUGGACAGACUGGCUGAGAAGGCAGAGGGACAGCAAGACCAACAUGGCAUUCUUUACCUAGUUUAUGCAGGGGAUAGACUGGACAAAUAUCUGGGCCCUUAUCUAAUUCAGAUUGUUUGCCAGAGGCUGCAUUCCUGGAAAGAACAUGUCUGCCCAGCCAUGCGCCAACGUAAGGUCGGAGUGGGCUCAACCAGUGCUUGCAUGCUCCCCGUAAGCAGGACCAGGUGGGGGCAUCCACAGACACGGGGCCUCGCCAGACAUGGGCUCACUCAGGAUGUUUGCAGCCUAGGAGAGAACUUAGUCCCUGGCGCGCUAGUGUUGACAUACAGCCCUGGACAAAAGAAGGGCUUGUCCCCACGGUACCGAGCCAGCAGGCGGAGCGGAGUGCCACGGCGAUGGCUAGAGAUGCGCUUCAAACAUCUCUUCGGAUAACGGAUGGGUGGCGUUACGGUGGAUUUGUCCAGUCUUUAUAUAUAGUCAGCGGUCUGACCGACCUGUCAGCUUCGGCUUGACGUCUGGCCGCAGAGGCUAUUGAGAGACAGAGAAUGAAAAAAGAAACAACCUCUGCAGUUCCUGUUCUGAGCAACAAUACUCUAAAUAGGCUAAACUGGGAUUAUAUCUUUAAAACAAUUAUAGUCUGUAUAAGAUGUUAAGGCAUUUUAAUGCCAAACCAACUCUUUUGGAGAACGUACCUGCUCCAGAAUAACUGGACGAGUCAUUUAAGUCUUUUCACUUCAACGAAACAUUAAAGUGUUCUCGUUUAUCUAUUUUAAUGUUAAGGAUCUCCCAUAAAAACUUUCUCAUAUUGUGUAGACUAAAUGUGCCGGUGCUGGUUUCACUCACACUGUUGCAUAAAAACAUGUGCAGCUUUUGCAUUGUGGUUGUGAAUAUGGUUUCUGCAUGAUUUGUAUGGAGUUUAAGGAUAUAGGUUAGUGUAUGCGUUCACUGACAAUAUAUAUAGAAAACAACAAACAAAGUUAGCCAGUGUUUUUGUUUCUCUACCAUGUUUCCACGUAAACAAAUCCAGCGACAAUAAAAACAAAAUGACUUCCGGUAUUGAUUUUCUCAAUAAAACAAAAAAAAAGAUUAUUCAUUCAAUUUAUUUAAGUCUAACGUCUACCCACUUUUUAUGUUGCUACCCACACACACUUCCAUGUUAUAAUCUCUGAAAGCUAUUUAAUGUGACCACUAUCAAUUUGAAUUUUUCUAUUUACAAAAUAAAAUUGGCUAUUUCCGGUUUGUAUCUUCCUAUUAUUUUGCGACUUUACGCGUCUUGUUCUAGCGAAGUGGAUCCUGACACGCUUCCUGGUGCAGCUCAGGAUCCUGCAGAGAAGCAAGACACAUUGCACCUGCGAGCGUGCAUGUGCACCACUACGCUGCAGACAGUGCAGACUUCAAUUGAUCAACCUCAAGUUCACAUUUAAGUCUUCAGUCUACUAGAGCAAAUGCAAAAAUAUGACAACUAUAACAAUAACUUUACUUGUCUCAGCCUUUUUCUUUACAUGCUUUUCUAGAAAUAGUCCAAACUUUUCAUAAAACCUCAAUAACUGUCUACUAGCAAGUUGUCUGAGAACCCUACAGUGAAAAAAGUUCACAUAACUGCUUUCAGAGCAAAAGUCCAUUCACACAACAUUUAAAUACAUUUGUAAAAUAUAUAAUGUAUAAUUUAAUUAUACAGUAUUAUGCACAUAUUCUGGAUAUGGGUGUGUGUAAUUUGUAAAAUGAAUGGAACUUUAAUGGACUAUGGAAACAAACUGAGAAAUUCUGGAUCUUUAUACUGAAAAAACAUUAUUGCAGUUCUUAAUAAAAGACAAUAAAAUAAUAAAGAACAGUGGUGUUAAAAUCAGUUUAUUAUAGGUUUCUCAAGUGCAUUAAAAGAACAGUGGUAUUAAUCAAUACAAGUCUCCACUGUUACAUUAUAAACAGACGACAUGCAACACACGACAGACAAGUUUGUGCGAGUUUGUUUCCAUGUUAUUGGACUUUCUUAAAUACUUGAUGGCAGACUUUGUCGAGUGCAGUGAUUUCCUGAAAGAGAAGUUACAAACCUUUAAACUGUGAGUCCAACAUGAUGCAACAAAUCUGUCUUUUAGUUGCAUAAACAGGUUGUGUUAGAGCUAUAAACUUUAGAUAAACUUUAGAUUGUGCUUCACUGUCUUUUUGUUAUCUUAUGAAGAUAUGGGAAAUCAAUGUGAUUUAAUAAAGGGUUGUAAAUUAUUUCAUUAAACAAUUGAGGAAAGGA